rnacentral:rRNA from 1 species
GUGGGGAAUCUUAGACAAUGGGCGCAAGCCUGAUCUAGCCAUGCCGCGUGAGCGAUGAAGGCCUUAGGGUUGUAAAGCUCUUUCGUGGGGGAAGAUAAUGACUGUACCCCAAGAAGAAGCCCCGGCUAACUCCGUGCCAGCAGCCGCGGUAAUACGGAGGGGGCUAGCGUUGUUCGGAAUUACUGGGCGUAAAGCGCACGUAGGCGGACUGGAAAGUCAGGGGUGAAAUCCCGGGGCUCAACCCCGGAUCUGCCGUUGAAACUCCCAGUCUUGAGUUCGAGAGAGGUGAGUGGAAUUCCGAGUGUAGAGGUAAAAUUCGUAGAUAUUCGGAGGAACACCAGUGGCGAAGGCGGCUCACUGGCUCGAUACUGACGCUGAGGUGCGAAAGCGUGGGGAGCAAACAGGAUUAGAUACCCGGGUAGUCC